rnacentral:rRNA from 1 species
UACAGAGGGUGCAAGCGUUAAUCGGAUUUACUGGGCGUAAAGCGCACGCAGGUGGCUGAGUCAGUCGAUUGUGAAAGCCCUGGGCUUAACCUGGGAAUUGCAGUCGAUACUACUCAGCUAGAGUAUGGGAGAGGGUAGUGGAAUUCCCGGUGUAGCGGUGAAAUGCGUAGAUAUCGGGAGGAACAUCAGUGGCGAAGGCGGCUACCUGGCCCAAUACUGACACUCAGGUGCGACAGCGUGGGGAGCAAACAGG